rnacentral:lncRNA from 1 species
AGAGAGCGGUUUGAUAUGUCACUGAAACCAGCAUCCAGGUGGUAUUGCUCCAUAUGCCUGAGACCCUAACAAAAGCCUAAUUACAACUCAUAUGCCUGGAGCCAGGACAUGUGCAGGAUGGUGAUGUAACUUUCCUCUCUGGAAUGGGUCCUGCACAAAGGAAUGAUAGUAACAUAUUGCAAAGCCAGACACACAGCCAUGAUGGUCCAAGUUAUAUUGGGAUUCAGCCAAUAGAAGAUAUUUUGCCUGUCAUCCCUAAGCUUAGGACAAUAGACUCUGCCAAGAGAGGGGAUUAUUACAUAUUGCAGAGCCCAGCACCUAGGUGGAGUGACUCUCAUCUUUUUCUUCUACCCCGUAUAUAGCCAGCUUGGUGACCUACUAUUUGAGUCUAUACCCAGGCCCAGACCACAGAUGAAAUUGUGCAAUAUGUGGAACAAACACCUAAACAAUAUAUAACACCUUCCUUGGCUCUGUCUACAAAGGGCACUUUUAUAUAUCACUGGGACCAUCAACCAGGUGAUGUUGUGCCAUAUAACUGAGACCGUAUCAAAAGCCUAAUAACAAGACGUAUGUCUGGAGCCCCGAUAUGCACAGGAUGGUGAUAUAACCCUCUUCUCUGGAAUGGGCCCCACACAAAGGAAGGAUAGUGACAUAUUGCAAGCCCAGGCACACAGGCCCAGAGCACAGUUGAAAUUGUGACAUAUGUACACCAAGCAACCAAGCAAUGUAUAACACCUCAUUUGGCAAUGGAAUCGAGGGCACUUUUACAUAUCACUGAGACCAGCGCCCAGCUGAUGUGAAAUAUUGGCCUGAACCCUGCCUACAAAAGCAUUGUGGCUUUUAUCUAGCUCCAUUACAUAAGUGAUGUGACUUCCUUCUACUGCCUUGGCCCUGCACUUAUGGUGAAUCGUGACACAAAAUUGGGUAGAGCAACCAGCCUGGGCCCUGACCAGCACAGAGAUUGAGGCAUAUUGCUGAACCCAGGACCAAGAUGAAGUCACUCUCCUGCCUUGAUCCUGCACACAGGGACCCUUGUGACAUAUAUACAGGCCAAUUGCCUAGGUGAUGUUGUGCAAUAUACCUGAGACCAGAUCAAUGGCCUAAUAAUGACUCUUUUACCUAG